rnacentral:lncRNA from 1 species
CGGCCGCUGCCUUCCAGGCUCUCGGGCGGCGCCCGGGGACUGGCUGGGCCGAGAGUCGGGGUCCCCGAGCCGCGGGGCCGAGCUUAGAACGCGCGCGGCCGGCCUGCUGCCACCGUUCUGCACGGCGCGACACCGGUCUGCGUCCGGACACUCGGGGCCCACGCCGCCACUGGGGCCGCUGCCGCCGCUGCCGCUGCUGCUGCUGCCACCAACGACGACCUGGGUUUGUCGCGGUCCCCGCCGCACAAUUAUAGAGAGCAGUUUUGACAUCACGGAACACUGAAAUUUAUAAAUGAGGUGAUUUGGUUGCCUGACAUCUACUGGAGACUAACCAUGUGUCCCAGAAAGACGAUGAACUUGAGGGAGGAGGAGUUGAG